CCUGAGUAGUAUAAUCAAAAUUACCUUGAGCCUAAGCCUCAAAAAUAAAGUCAUCUUUCUCAGGA
rnacentral:tRNA from 1 species